rnacentral:rRNA from 1 species
CACGCAGGCGGUCUGUCAAGUCGGAUGUGAAAUCCCCGGGCUCAACCUGGGAACUGCAUUCGAAACUGGCAGGCUGGAGUCUUGUAGAGGGGGGUAGAAUUCCAGGUGUAGCGGUGAAAUGCGUAGAGAUCUGGAGGAAUACCGGUGGCGAAGGCGGCCCCCUGGACAAAGACUGACGCUCAGGUGCGAAAGCGUGGGGAGCAAAC